rnacentral:rRNA from 1 species
AGAGUUUGAUCAUGGCUCAGGAUUAACGCUGGCGGCAUGCCUAAUACAUGCAAGUCAAACGGGAUUAUAGCUUGCUAUAAUCUAGUGGCGAACGGGUGAGUAACACGUGGGCAACCUGUCCUAAAGACGAGGAUAACAGUUGGAAACGACUGCUAAUACUGGAUAGUAUAUAUUUUCGCAUGAAGACAUAUUUAAAGAUGCGUUUGCAUCACUUUAGGAGGGGCCCGCGGCGCAUUAGCUAGUUGGUGAGGUAACGGCUCACCAAGGCGACGAUGCGUAGCUGCGCUGAGAGGCGAAACAGCCACAUUGGGACUGAGACACGGCCCAAACUCCUACGGGAGGCAGCAGUAGGGAAUUUUCGGCAAUGGAGGAAACUCUGACCGAGCAAUGCCGCGUGAACGAUGAAGGUCUUCGGAUUGUAAAGUUCUGUUGUUAAGGAAGAACUAUAUGAUUAGGAAAUGAGUCAUAUUUGACGGUACUUAACUAGAAAGCCACGGCUAACUACGUGCCAGCAGCCGCGGUAACACGUAGGUGGCGAGCGUUAUCCGGAAUUACUGGGUGUAAAGGGUGUGUAGGCGGAAAAGCAAGUCAGAUGUGAAAAUUAUGGGCUUAACUCAUAACCUGCAUUUGAAACUGUUUUUCUUGAGGAUGGGAGAGGUAAAUGGAAUUCCCGGUGUAGCGGUGAAAUACGUAGAUAUCGGGAGGAACACCAGUGGCGAAGGCGGUUUACUGGACCAUUACUGACGCUGAGACACGAAAGCGUGGGGAGCAAACAGGAUUAGAUACCCUGGUAGUCCACGCUGUAAACGAUGAACACUAGGUGUAGGGUCUUCGGACUCUGUGCCGCAGUUAACACAAUAAGUGUUCCACCUGGGGAGUACGGCCGCAAGGUUGAAACUCAAAGGAAUUGACGGGAGCCCGCACAAGCAGUGGAGUAUGUGGUUUAAUUCGAUGCAACGCGAAAGAACCUUACCAGGUCUUGACAUCGUGCGCAUAGUAUAGAGAUAU